AGCAGCCGCGGUAAUUCCAGCUCCAAUAGCGUAUAUUAAAGUUGUUGCAGUUAAAAAGCUCGCAGUUGAAUUUCGGGGUCAGCAGGUUGGUCGUGCCUCUGGUACGCACUGGUUUCGCUGAUUCCUCCUUUCUGAAGAACUGUAAUGUCAUUAAUUUGGUGUUGCAGGGAAACAGGACUGUUACUUUGAAAAAAUUAGAGUGUUUAAAGCAAGCUAACGCUUGAAUACAUUAGCAUGGAAUAAUGAAAUAGGACGUUUGAUCCUAUUUUGUUGGUUUCUAGGAUUGACGUAAUGAUUAAUAGGGAUAGUUGGGGGCAUUAGUAUUCAAUUGUCAGAGGUGAAAUUCUUGGAUUUAUUGAAGACUAACUACUGCGAAAGCAUUUGCCAAGGAUGUUUUCAUUAAUCAAGAACGAAAGUUAGGGGAUCGAAGACGAUCAGAUACCGUCGUAGUCUUAACCAUAAACUAUGCCGACUAGGGAUCGGAUGAUGUUAAUUUUUUAAUGACUCA
rnacentral:rRNA from 1 species